GCGAGUUAUUACAGCCAAACCUCCAGUUAAAUUCAGUUGCUCCCAGCGCUUACCUAUCCUGCCCGGGAGAGAACAACUAACCUGCUGAAAGCGAUCAUCUCCAAAUCUGAAGAUCUACAGAAGAAAGAAAGUCUUACAUUUUUGGAACAACAUGAGGUAUGUCUGUAGAGGAGUGGUGAUGCUGUGAGGAAAGAGAGGGAGAGAGACAGAGAGGAUGAGAUCAAGGUCAUCUCUGUCUAAAACGAAUGAAUCAUGCAUGUCCAGGCAACAGCAGGAUGACUGCAGCACCUGACUUUCACAUCCUGAUGAAACCCAAGAAAUGAGAUGGGUGACAUUUCAUUGGUCAUGGCUUUGGCACAUACUCCUCUGAUGAAAUUAAAAAAGAAGUGCUACUUAAACGAGGGGGAAGUUUCAGCGCAAUUAACCUUUGAAUUGCACAAAGCGUAUUUCAGUUAACCAUUUUAGUCAGCAUGUUAAAUUCAAAAAUUGCAUGAUACCUUUGUGAAAAGUGAACAAAUAAAAUCAAAGCCAAUUUCAAAGCUGAUAUUAAAACCAAUACAUAUAAGGAUACAAUGUGUAACUACACUGAUGGAUUUUUUUUUUAUUUUUUACAAUCAAUCCACCUACUUCCACUUAAACUUGUAAAAACUUGCAAAAUUUGUAUUUCAACUUAAAUGAUGAUAAACCGACUAAAAUCUGAAUUUCUUAUAAAUCUCAUAUGGUUUUUUCAGUGUAUAACUAUUUAACAUU